CAGUAGCCGCGGGAAUGUGUAGGUGGCAAGCGUUGUCCGGAAUUAUUGGGCGUAAAGGGCUCGCAGGCGGUUUCUUAAAUCUGAUGUGAAAGCCCCCGGCUCAACCGGGGAGGGUCAUUGGAAACUGGGAAACUUGAGUGCAGAAGAGGAGAGUGGAAUUCCACGUGUAGCGGUGAAAUGCGUAGAGAUGUGGAGGAACACCAGUGGCGAAGGCGACUCUCUGGUCUGUAACUGACGCUGAGGAGCGAAAGCGUGGGGAGCGAACAGGAUUAGAUACCCGCGUAGUCCCUGUCUCUUAUAC
rnacentral:rRNA from 1 species